rnacentral:rRNA from 1 species
UGGGGAAUAUUGCACAAUGGGCGCAAGCCUGAUGCAGCCAUGCCGCGUGUGUGAAGAAGGCCUUCGGGUUGUAAAGCACUUUCAGCGGGGAGGAAGGCGAUAAGGUUAAUAACCUUGUCGAUUGACGUUACCCGCAGAAGAAGCACCGGCUAACUUCGUUCCAGCAGCCGCGGUAAUACGGAGGGUGCAAGCGUUAAUCGGAAUUACUGGGCGUAAAGCGCACGCAGGCGGUCUGUCAAGUCGGAUGUGAAAUCCCCGGGCUUAACCUGGGAACUGCAUUCGAAACUGGCAGGCUAGAGUCUUGUAGAGGGGGGUAGAAUUCCAGGUGUAGCGGUGAAAUGCGUAGAGAUCUGGAGGAAUACCGGUGGCGAAGGCGGCCCUCUGGACACAGUCUGACGCUCAGGUGCGAAAGCGUGGGGAGCAAACAGG